AGCCCGACGCACACACUCCUCCCACUAUUCACCACAUUGAAUUACGCUGUCCCGGUGAACGUACCGUUGUUCACAAAGAGACGAGGAGGCACGUUUUACCUACAGAGGGGACCAAAAAAAAAAAAAAAAACACAGAGGACGGAGUAACUGAACAUAUGAGACGGGACGUCUUUUAGCUAGCACUGUCCCGUUCGCACCCAGCAUUUUUUUCCUCCAUGUUUUCGGUGUAAAAGUUCGGCUCUGUCAGCAUUUAUCGACCUCCCACCUCUCACACGUUACCUUUGACACGGGUGGCCCCCGUUUGACUUUCGGGAGGGCAUUUUACCGGGGAAAAAGAAAAAGAAAAGCCUCAACUCCACCACUGAAGAGGUCGCAGCCAUCAAACAGGACAUCUUGCAGUCAGUGGGAUGUUAGAGCUUUGGAAGCAGGACUGACUGAAGGAGCAUGGUGAAACACCAACCCCUCCAGGUCUAUGAGCGCCAGCUGUGUUUGUCAUGUAUCACUGGGAUCUACGGUUGCCGGUGGAAACGCUAUCAACGUUCCCAUGAUGACACUACCAAGUGGGAGCUGCUGUGGUCCCUCAUCCUCCUGUUAACCUUCUGCCUGCUGCUGGUCUGGUUCUACUUCUGGUGGGAGGCACAUAAUGACUACAAUGAGUUCAACUGGUUCCUCUACAACCGCUCCGGGGAGUGGAGUGAUGGCACUGUUCCCAUCUUGGCCACCACUGCUGCUGGCUUCACCUACAUUGCACUUUUAAUGGUUUUAGCCCUUUGCCAUAUUGCACUUGGACAACAACUAAAUUUGCACUGGCUUCAUAAGAUUGGAGUGACUGCUGCUCUCCUCACCACCGUUGUUGGGGUGAUAUCCAUCAAUCAAACAUGGGGGCAAGAGUGGGAUGUCAUCCCCAUCUCCCUGCAGGCCACAGGUCCGUUCCUGCACAUCGGAGCUCUUGCUGCAGUCACAGCGCUGUCAUGGAUUGUGGCUGGACAGGUCGCUCGUGCAGAAAAAACAAUGUUCCAGGUAGUGGUCAUGCUGCUAUAUCUCAGUGUGUUACUGGGACUCUAUGUGGUGCCGCUGUACAUCAGCUCCCCCUGCAUCAUGGACCCCACCACUCUCAAACAGCGCCCUGAUGUCAUUGGUCACCAGGGAGCCCCCAUGCUUGCUCCAGAGAACACGCUGUGGUCCUUCCAGAGAGCACUGCAGAUGAACGUCACUGGGUUGGAGGCUGACGUGGCUAUCAGUGUGGAUGGAGUACCUUUCCUGAUGCACGACCGCACCCUGCAGAGGACCACAGACGUAGAAAAAGUUUUUCCAGACAGGCAGAUGGAUGACGCCUCAUUCUUCAAUUGGACAGACCUACGGCAGCUCAACGCAGGACAGUGGUUCCUCAAGGAUGACCCCUUCUGGACAGUGCACACACUGUCCCCCCACGAGAAGGAUCUGAUCGCCAAUCAGAGUGUUUGCAGCCUGGAGCAGCUUCUAAUGUUGGCUUCCUAUCAUAACAGCACAGUGGUUUUCAGGCUGAGGAGACCACCUCCAGGGCACCCCUGCUACCACAGCUGGAUCAAUGAUACACUGCAGGCCGUGCAGCAAUCUGGUGUCCCUCAGAGCCUGGUGAUGUGGACUCCAGAUGAAAACAGAGCUCAGGUGAGGCAGCUGGCCCCUGGGCUGAUCCAGGCCUCAUUGGACAAACAGAGUCCUCAGAUUCUCCAUCAGAGUAGCAUCAGCAGGCUGCUGCUCAGAUACAACCAGGCCAGCACACAGGAAAUCAGAAACUUCUCCCAGAGCAGCAUCAACCUCACCCUUUACACCAUCAACGAGCCCUGGCUGUACUCGGUGCUGUGGUGUAGCGGGGUGUCUUCAGUCUCCUCAGAGGCCCCACAUAUCCUCAUUAAGGUGCCUUACCCCGUCUGGCUCAUGAGACCAGAUGAAUACUGCCUGAUGUGGGUGUCUGCAGACCUCAUCUCCUUUGCUGCAGUCAUAGGAAUAUUCAUUUUCCAGAAGUAUCGGAUGAGCGGUAUGCGCAGCUACAACCCCGAACAGAUCAUGCUGAGCGCUGCAGUCAGGAGGUCCAGCAGAGACCUCAACGUGAUGAAGGAGAAACUUAUCUUCUCCGGUCAACCCCAGUAGCAGCCUGUGUGAUGCACAUCAUCUCCUGUCAAUGCUACCACCAGUGUGACUCCUUUCUUUAUUCCAUGCAUCCAUUGCAUUCCCUCGUUACCUGCCAGUUCUCUAUGCCCUUCUUCCCCUCCAUCCAUCCAUCUCUUCAUGCACCAAACCUCCCCCAUAAUCCUCCCACUGGAGACCACGUCAUGUGUAGGGGAGCUUAUAGACACCUCAGUCUGUCUAGACAGUGUCUAGCGCUGGGUGUCAAAGAGGUGGGGAAUGGAGUUGGCAGUGCCGAGGAGCUGUAUUCAGACAAUGGCUAUGACUACUACACCAAUCAGGGCAUCAGCCAGUGACUGGGGAUGUGUGAAUCUGCUGUAGCGAGACGGAGACGACAACACUCAUUCCUGUUCUGCUGAUUAACUGACAGACUGCUGUAUCUGACUGGGAAAACAACCACCCACUUUCUUUGUAUAUUUUCUGCAGAUAGUUUCUUGUUGUUGUUGUUUUUUGUUUUUUUUGGGGGGGGGUGCCUGUUAGACAUACUGUAUAUCACAGGGGACUACACGCACUUUUCAUUUAUGUAAUUCGCCAAAUCCGUGGCCUCCUUUCCCACAUCUAAAUGUCCAAGGGGCCCUUCUGGGUAACCAAUGCCUACUUCUUUUUAAAGUUGCAUUUCCAGAUUGUUUAAGCUAAUUUUCCAAAGCAGUUCCUUGUUUUUAACCAAUGUACAUAUUAUUCUCUUAGCAGAUGGAUUUCUUUUUACAGGGCUUUACUGCAGCAUGAGACUAAACUCUAAACUAACAGCUCAAUAUGCUCCUGCCUUCUGUCAGCACUCUGUUGUGCUGUUGUUCAUAAUAGUACUAAUAGUGAUAUUUAUAUUUAAAGAGAAAAACAAAAAACAAACAAGCUGUUUACAGAGGUCCUGCCUUCUCCUCCAAGUGAAAUAUUCACAUGGUGCAUGUAAGAUACUUAUUUUGAUAGAGGCCGAAGGCCCAUCCCCCACCCCUCCCCUAUUUGGCCAAGUGCAUACAACUGUGAUGAUCAUAUCAUUUGACAUGUGUGAGCUGUACUCCCAGUGCAACCAGAAGAGCUGGUAAAAUGGUUUUGGGGGGUGAACAUUUGUGCUGUUUUUUUUUUAAGGUCAAUGUGAAUGCGUUCAGAUUAUUAUUAUUAUUUUUUAAAGAUAUGUACAGUGUAUUGUGUGUAUUCUGACUGGGUACAUAUUUUUUGCCCCAUGUGCAGUGCUAUGUUGAGUGUGUUACUGUACAUAAAAGGUGAACCAAUGAGUGAGAUGCUUCAGCGAACUAAGACUUACAUUUGAACAAUGAUGAAAAGUGUUAAAUAAUAGCAAUAGUGUGGUCAUGAUGGAAGUCAUCUCACUUCCUAUUCAGCCUCUGAACUGCAGUUGAGUCUGUGGUAUUUUAGUGUUCACAUACACCGUGCAUCCAAACGUUGGUUUAAAACUGAGUGCUGUUAGAUAAAUGAAAUGGGCACUAAAUGUGAAAAUAAAGCUCUAAGCUAACUGAAGGGAUGCUACAGGUAUCACAAGGGGCAGCACAGGGUCAAGAAAUGGAUUGCCUUUUGUGUUGAAUUUUUUCUUUGAGUAUUAUUGUGCCUCAGAAGUAAACAUUAAAAAAAAUUAAAUAAU